rnacentral:rRNA from 1 species
AUGGAAGGGAUGAGAAUGUUGGUUGUUAUUGAGUUUGCUUUUGAUAUAGGUGAUGAUGACUGGAAAAAAUUUCACUCAUUUUUCAUAGGAAUGGACAGAAGAUGCAAGAUCAUCAUCAUAAGUAGACUCCAAAGUUUAGCCAGAUUUGGAUCGGUGAAACCGAUUUUCCUAAGUGUUCUAUCUUAUGAUGAGUUGAGGUACCUUUUUAAGACACUAGCAUUCGGAAGCGUUGACCCUGCACAACAUCCACUAUCAGUACAGGUAGCAGAUGAAUUUGCCAAGGUGUUGCACGGUAUGCCAGGUGCACUUGUGGCAAAAAAUACGUUCGUAGAUGUCUUGAGAAGGAACCUCAGUGUUCAAUAUUGGCACUGUGUAUUGGACAAGAGGAAAAGAAUGGUUAAACGAAAUCUCUCCAUGUAUGGUGGACACCCAAGCAUGCUUAUAGGAGAAGGACAUCCAGUGGACAUAACGGAUUUUUCUUUGCAUCCACUUAGCAUGACACGCCAUACAAUUAAUGGUUCAACCAAGAAGGAAUUACCAUGUCUGACAUUUGGGGAACUUAUAGCAGAUCCUAGUGCUAGACCAAAGCAAGACUUUGUUCUAGUUUCAUGGGAAUCAAGGAUACCCCCACAUAAUUCGUUUGCUCAUUUUGUGACUAGUCAUGCUCAGAAUACACACGAAGGUGGUGCCUUGUCAGGGAGAAAGCGUCGAGGAGUGUCAAUCUAG